rnacentral:rRNA from 1 species
GGAAUAUUGGACAAUGGGCGAAAGCCUGACCCAGCAACGCCGCGUGAAGGAUGAAAUCCCUCGGGAUGUAAACUUCGCAAGAACGGGAAGAAUAAGUAAGAGUUAAUAUCUCUUAUGAUGACGGUACUGUUUGUAAGCUCCGGCUAACUCCGUGCCAGCAGCCGCGGUAAUACGGGGGGAGCAAGCGUUGUUCGGAUUUACUGGGCGUAAAGGGCGCGUAGGCGGCCACCGCAAGUCGGUUGUGAAAUCUCCGGGCUUAACCCGGAAAGGUCAACUGAUACUGCGGGGCUAGAGUGCAGAAGGGGCAACUGGAAUUCUCGGUGUAGCGGUGAAAUGCGUAGAUAUCGAGAGGAACACCUGCGGCGAAGGCGGGUUGCUGGGCUGACACUGACGCUGAGGCGCGAAAGCGUGGGGAGCAAA